CCUACGGGAGGCAGCAGUGAGGAAUAUUGGUCAAUGGUCGCGAGACUGAACCAGCCAAGUAGCGUGCAGGAUGACUGCCCUACGGGUUGUAAACUGCUUUUAUACGGGGAUAAAAUGCGUCACGUGUGCCUUUUUGUAUGUACUUUAUGAAUAAGGAUCGGCUAACUCCGUGCCAGCAGCCGCGGUAAUACGGAGGGUCCGAGCGUUAUCCGGAUUUAUUGGGUUUAAAGGGAGCGUAGGUGGGUUGUUAAGUGGGUCGUGAAAUGUCGUGGCUCAACCAUAGAAUUGCGAUGGAAACUGGCUGGCUUGAGUGCAGGGAAGGUAGGCGGAAUUCGUGGUGUAGCGGUGAAAUGCUUAGAUAUCACGAAGAACUCCGAUUGCGAAGGCAGCUUACUGCAGUGCUACUGACGCUGAUGCUCGAAGGUGUGGGUAUCAAACAGGAUUAGAUACCCUAGUAGUC
rnacentral:rRNA from 1 species